GAUGAACGCUGGCGGCGUGCUUAACACAUGCAAGUCGAACGGAGUAUUGAGAAUGAAGUUUUCGGAUGGAUUUCUUAAUACUUAGUGGCGGACGGGUGAGUAACGCGUGGGUAACCUGCCUCACACAGGGGGAUAACAGUUGGAAACGACUGUUAAUACCGCAUAAGACCACAGUACCGCAUGGUACAGGGGUAAAAACUCCGGUGGUGUGAGAUGGACCCGCGUCUGAUUAGCUUGUUGGUGAGGUAACGGCCCACCAAGGCGACGAUCAGUAGCCGAACUGAGAGGUUGACCGGCCACAUUGGGACUGAGACACGGCCCAGACUCC
rnacentral:rRNA from 1 species